GACUGGGAGUAAACCACCGCGGACGGCUCAUUAAAUCAGUUGUGGUCUAAAAUGGUCAUUUGUCCUUAAUUGGAUAACUGUGGCAAUUCCAGAGCUAAUACAUGCAAUCUAUAAGUCCGACGCUAUGUGUCUGGAAGACUUUUGUCUUUCGAGAGGCACCUCUAGCAUACGGAGUGGGGUUUAUUGGCCGGGGAAACGAAUAGGGUGAGAGAGCAAUCUUUUACCUUGUGACUCGCUGUUAUGGUGACUCUGGAUAACAAGUCAAGACAAGCGCACGAUAGUACCAUACGGGAACUGGCGCAACCAUUUUUCAAGUGUCUGACUUAUCAGCUAUUUAUCGUUUGUUAUGUGCUCACGAUGGCUAUGGGGGGGAACGGGGCGGCGGGGGGCGAUUCCGGAGAGGCAGCCUGAGAAACGGCUACCACGUCCAAGGACGGCAGCAGGCACGCAAAUUACCCAAUCCCAGCACCUGGGGGAGGUAGUGACAGUAUCUAACGAUGUGAACGUUUCGUAAGAAGCUUCACAAUCGGAAUGAGCAUUGUCACUUUUCUGGCUUUUUUCUAAAAUCUCUGUUGAGAACCAACUGAAGGGCAAGUCUGGUGCCAGCAGCCGCGGUAAUUCCAGCUUCAGUGGCAUGUAUCAAUGUUGUUGCGGUUAAAAGGCUCGCAGUUGAAUGUCUGGUCAAAGAGCCCAAGUGGUGGAUGUUGUGGAUUACUUGUUAGUGACGGUAUAUUCGUGAUGAAGCGCACGGGGACGACGCGUUUGCGGCGGCGCACACUUUAGUGUGUUGUCGUUUGUGAGUGUGUAUCGUUUCCUGGUGGGCCCCUCUUUCUCGAAUGUGUUCUAUAAAACACUGUCCUUUGUAGUCUUCCAUCCGUCUAUACCACUGGAUUCUUGGUUAAUGGAAAGGUCACAAACGAACACACUAUGUUAUCUCUCUUUAUUGAGAUUGAGCGAGUGUGGGAUAGUGGUCAUAUAAUUUGACACCCUGAGUAAAUCGGAGUGCUCAAAGAGGUCGAGUGCGCACAUAGAGAGUAUUUAUUUACUCUGGACUGUGCGUACACACAAGCUAUAUCUUGAUUUGUACUUAAUUGUGCAUUGAUAGAGACUGUCCUGAUUUUGCAUGGUAUGUCGAAAGACGCUAUCAUACGUUGGUUACGAGUUAAUUUGAGACGGUCAGCUUAAAUGAGUGCUAAUGUGUGCUUACAAUAAUCAGAUAAGAGUGUUCUUUCCAUCUGUGUAAGCUUCAGCUUUUUUUAAUUAAAGAGUGUGGAGCCUCUAUGCUUUUAUAUGACGAGACACACACACUGUUUGAGUUUGCUAUACAGGCGCAUGCUGGCCAUAACUCCAAUGUUGAUGGAAUGAUAAAGAGAGAUGGUCGAGGGCAAAAGUAUUGCGAGGCGAGCGGUGAAAUGCUAUGACCCCCGCAAGAAUACCUGAAGCGAAUGCGUCUGCCAAGGAUGUUUUCAUUAAUCAUGAACGAAAGUUAGAGGAUCGAAGGCGAUCAGAUACCGCCCUAGUUCUAACUGUAAACGAUACCGACCAUCAAUCCGUCCGUAGCUCCUUUACUGUGGGCUCGGCGGGCAGCUCCCCCAUCACGGGAAACCAGAGUCUCUGGGUUCCGGGGGGAGUCUGGUUGCAAAACUGAAACUUAAAGGAAUUGACGGAAAGGCACCACCAGGCGUGGAGCUUGCGGCUUAAUUUGACUCAACACGGGAAAUCUUACCAGGCCAGCACUCUUGAAUGAUUGACAGAUGGAGAGUUUUUUCUCGAUUCAGUGGAUGGUGGUGCAUGGCCGUUCUUAGUUGGUGGAGUGAUCUGUCUGGUUAAUUCCGAUAACGAACGAGACUCUCUCCUGCUAAAUAUGUCGGCUGGAUCUUGUGUCCCCAUGAGUUGUGAGCGAGAUGGAUUAGUGUGUCUUACACGCUUUGAAUUCUUUAACACACUCCAAGUCCGCCGCAUGUGUGUAGCUUGGUAUUUGCAUACAAACCUCUGGGUGUGUGGUUUGUGUUGGAUAACUCUGACACACCGCCAUUAAUGUUUUUGCUUGUGCCUUGUCUAUAUGCAAUGACUAAGUCUUCUUAGAGGUAUAAACGGCCCUUAAGCCGUAUGAAACGGUGAGCAAUAACAGGUCUGUUAUGCCCUUUGAUGUUCUGGGCCGCACGCGUGCUACAAUGCUUGGUACAGCAGGUGUUAUCCUUCUCCGAAAGGAGUUGGUAAUCCUCUGAAAGCCACUUGAAUAUUGUCUCUCUUUUUAUUAAGAGUGUUUUUCAAAGAGAGAGAGGGAGCAAUCUCUUUAUCUCUGCAUUGAAAUUAAUGGCAUGCUUGGGCCUGGGGCUUGCAAUUCUUUUCCCACAAACGGGGAAUGCCUGAGUAGUUACUGGUCACAAAGUGGUUGUGACUCAGUUCCCUGCCCUUUGUACAACACCGCCCGUCGCUAUUCCGAUUGGGUGGAGAAGUGAGGACCUUGGAGUGUGCGUAUCCCAUAUACAGAUGAGUGCUUGCUGUUCAUAUAGGGUCUGUGCUUGU
rnacentral:rRNA from 1 species